rnacentral:rRNA from 1 species
GACGAACGCUGGCGGCGUGCCUAAUACAUGCAAGUAGAACGCACAGUUUAUACCGUAGCUUGCUACACCAUAAACUGUGAGUUGCGAACGGGUGAGUAACGCGUAGGUAACCUGCCUGGUAGCGGGGGAUAACUAUUGGAAACGAUAGCUAAUACCGCAUAAUAUUAAUUAUUGCAUGAUAAUUGAUUGAAAGAUGCAAUUGCAUCACUACCAGAUGGACCUGCGUUGUAUUAGCUAGUAGGUGAGGUAACGGCUCACCUAGGCGACGAUACAUAGCCGACCUGAGAGGGUGAUCGGCCACACUGGGACUGAGACACGGCACAGACUCCUACGGGAGGCAGCAGUAGGGAAUCUUCGGCAAUGGACGAAAGUCUGACCGAGCAACGCCGCGUGAGUGAAGAAGGUUUUCGGAUCGUAAAGCUCUGUUGUAAGAGAAGAACGGGUGUGAGAGUGGAAAGUUCACACUGUGACGGUAUCUUACCAGAAAGGGACGGCUAACUACGUG